rnacentral:rRNA from 1 species
GAUGAACGCUGGCGGCGUGCCUAAUACAUGCAAGUCGAGCGAACAGACGAGGAGCUUGCUCCUCUGACGUUAGCGGCGGACGGGUGAGUAACACGUGGAUAACCUACCUAUAAGACUGGGAUAACUUCGGGAAACCGGAGCUAAUACCGGAUAAUAUAUUGAACCGCAUGGUUCAAUAGUGAAAGACGGUUUUGCUGUCACUUAUAGAUGGUUCCGCGCCGCAUUAGCUAGUUGGUAAGGUAACGGCUUACCAAGGCAACGAUGCGUAGCCGACCUGAGAGGGUGAUCGGCCACACUGGAACUGAGACACGGUCCAGACUCCUACGGGAGGCAGCAGUAGGGAAUCUUCCGCAAUGGGCGAAAGCCUGACGGAGCAACGCCGCGUGAGCGAUGAAGGUCUUCGGAUCGUAAAACUCUGUUAUUAGGGAAGAACAAAUGUGUAAGUAACUAUGCACGUCUUGACGGUACCUAAUCAGAAAGCCACGGCUAACUACGUG